rnacentral:rRNA from 1 species
AUCUGGGCGGCGAAAUUCAGAAUGACUGGCAGGCCUCGUGCAUGUCGGUCGUUUGAUAUUUUCGUCGCCGUGUCAGACGUCGCGAUCUGUUCGUUGUCGGUCCYUGCUCGGAGGAGUUGCGAUCGAGUUUGUUGUGGUCGCGUUUCGGCGUGUCAUACGGCAAAGACGCAAAUCUCUGGCCGAUAACGGACAGUAAGCAAUGGUAUCCGACGCUGUGUCACGUGCACGGUGUUGGUACCGAUCAGCGACGAUUUCUUCGGGCCUCUUUCCGACCCGUCUUGAAACACGGACCAAGGAGUCUAACAUACGCGCGAGUCGCGGGGUAUCGAGCGUACUACGGUGCGCUCGGCUYUUAUGAAACCCGUAUGUUGAAGGCGUAAUGAAAGUAAACAGGGAAGAUGGUGUUCCGAGUAUACGUACCGUGAAAAUUCGCGGCCGGACACCCGCAUUCCCYGGGCGUCUUAAUGGUUCAUCGUGGAUGCGGAUUGUCGUCUUUCGGGGCGACAGUCGGUCUGCGAUGGUCCGA